GAUGAACGCUGGCGGCGUGCUUAACACAUGCAAGUCGAACGAUGAAGCCCAGCUUGCUGGGUGGAUUAGUGGCGAACGGGUGAGUAACACGUGAGUAACCUGCCCUUGACUCUGGGAUAAGCCUGGGAAACUGGGUCUAAUACUGGAUAUGACUCCUCAUCGCAUGGUGGGGGGUGGAAAGAUUUAUUGGUCUUGGAUGGACUCGCGGCCUAUCAGCUUGUUGGUGAGGUAAUGGCUCACCAAGGCGACGACGGGUAGCCGGCCUGAGAGGGUGACCGGCCACACUGGGACUGAGGAACGGCCCAGACUCCUACGGGAGGCAGCAGUGGGGAAUAUUGCACAAUGGGCGCAAGCCUGAUGCAGCGACGCCGCGUGAGGGAUGACGGCCUUCGGGUUGUAAACCUCUUUCAGUAGGGAAGAAGCGAGAGUGACGGUACCUGCAGAAGAAGCGCCGGCUAACUACGUG
rnacentral:rRNA from 1 species